AGACACGGGGCACAUUGAGUGGGUUGCAAAAAUUUUAAGUACCUUUGCCGAGGUAUGGGUCUGCGAUAUUUAUCAAAACAGAACCUCUUCUUCAUCCCAAUUUUCACUCUCCAAAUCCUUCUCUCAUUCCUCCAAAUCCCUAAGCCAAUUUUCUCCCCAAAUCUGUCCACCGCCUGUACUCAAACCUCUCCUCCUCAUCUCAUGUAUGUAUAUAUCUAUUUUAUUCAUGGCCCACGGCGACGGCGAGCCACUGCUUCUACGCCGACGGCGCGAUGGUUGGCGUGACGGGGGCUGGUUUUACAGUGAGCCGUUCCUCGUACAGCUACAACAUGUCAAAUCAAGGAGGAAGCAAUUUGACUUUAAAAGGAUGGCCUCUCACAGGGUCUUGGUGUGGCUAUCCUAGAGCUGUCAUUGGUCAUAACAUUGCAUACACUAUGGAAAAUGGUGGAGAUGCAUGAGAUGGAGCCCGGGAAGAGAUUGACAGAUAACAUGAACAUAUACCACGAAUGUUGUAGGGCUUCUAAGUAAGGUGCAAAGAUUUCCAUGGAUGGAAUCAUGAACAUAAAAACACUAGCUACACUCUCAGUUACGAAGAAUACAUAAUCAAUAUAAAAGCCACAAAAGAGCAAGGUGCAAUUUUAAACAAUGUUUACCUUUAACUCUUUGUUGAAUACGACCACUCCACUUGCUGAAACAUCAACUGAAUCUAACUCGACAUCAACCAAUAUUUCUGAUCAAAGCAACUAAAAUGACACUCAACAAAGUCUAUUUCUUCUGUUAUGUAGGCAACUAAUUUUUUGUUUGUAUUAGAUGUAAAUAGUCCAACUUUUAAACUUAAUACUUGUAUCAGAUGUUCCUAAUGCUAAUAAUAUAUGAAAGAACAAUUUUACAUUUUCA